UUGAUUAUUUUUAAUAUGACUCAGACAUCGCUGUAAUAAUAGAGUUUGGAUAUACCUCUGGCGGACGCGAGCCACCCCCAGGCAGCAAAACCUGGGGCUGGAAUGAGCCGUAUAGCCUACUCAAGGCCCGCCAAAGCAACAAAGGUAGGUAGACAUAGGGUUGUAGAGAUGAUGAAAAGCGCAUACUGGGUCGGUCAGCCUGGGGCAUGCCUUACGCAAUAGCGCUUCCCACCACCAGGAUGGUUGGGUCGGGUCCAACCAUCCUGUGUUCUCUUUAAUGAUCCUUCCGCAGGUUCACCUACGGAAA
rnacentral:misc_RNA from 1 species